rnacentral:rRNA from 1 species
UCCUACGGGAGGCAGCAGUAGGGAAUCUUCCGCAAUGGACGAAAGUCUGACGGAGCAACGCCGCGUGAGUGAUGAAGGCUUUCGGGUCGUAAAACUCUGUUGUUAGGGAAGAACAAGUGCUAGUUGAAUAAGCUGGCACCUUGACGGUACCUAACCAGAAAGCCACGGCUAACUACGUGCCAGCAGCCGCGGUAAUACGUAGGUGGCAAGCGUUAUCCGGAAUUAUUGGGCGUAAAGCGCGCGCAGGUGGUUUCUUAAGUCUGAUGUGAAAGCCCACGGCUCAACCGUGGAGGGUCAUUGGAAACUGGGAGACCUGAGUGCAGAAGAGGAAAGUGGAAUUCCAUGUGUAGCGGUGAAAUGCGUAGAGAUAUGGAGGAACACCAGUGGCGAAGGCGACUUUCUGGUCUGUAACUGACACUGAGGCGCGAAAGCGUGGGGAGCAAACAGGAUUAGAUACCCUGGUAGUCCACGCCGUAAACGAUGAGUGCUAAGUGUUAGAGGGUUUCCGCCCUUUAGUGCUGAAGUUAACGCAUUAAGCACUCCGCCUGGGGAGUACGGCCGCAAGGCUGAAACUCAAAGGAAUUGACGGA